rnacentral:rRNA from 1 species
CGGCAACGGAUAUCUCGGCUCUCGCAUCGACGAAGAACGUAGCGAAAUGCGAUACUUGGUGUGAAUUGCAGAAUCCCGUGAACCAUCGAGUCUUUGAACGCAAGUUGCGCCCGAAGCCAUCAGGCCGAGGGCACGCCUGCCUGGGCGUCACACGCCGUUGCCCCC